rnacentral:rRNA from 1 species
UCAGGAUGAACGCUGGCGGCGUGCCUAACACAUGCAAGUCGAACGAAGCAUAUCUGACGGAGAUUCGUCGAAGCCGGAUAUGACUUAGUGGCGGACGGGUGAGUAAUGUAUGAGCAACCUGCCUUUCAGAGGGGGACAACAGUUGGAAACGACUGCUAAUACCGCAUAAUGUAUUUUGGUGGCAUCACCGGGAUACCAAAGGAGCAAUCCGCUGAAAGAUGGGCUCAUAUCUGAUUAGCUAGUUGGCGGGGUAACGGCCCACCAAGGCGACGAUCAGUAGCCGGACUGAGAGGUUGAACGGCCACAUUGGGACUGAGAUACGGCCCAGACUCCUACGGGAGGCAGCAGUGGGGAAUAUUGGGCAAUGGGCGAAAAAGCCUGACCCAGCAACGCCGCGUGAAGGAAGAAGGUCUUCGGAUUGUAAACUUCUUUUAUGAGGGACGAAGGACGUGACGGUACCUCAUGAAUAAGCCACGGCUAACUACGUGCCAGCCGCGGC